CUCAUUAAAUCAGUUAUCGUUUAUUUGAUAGUACCUUACUACUUGGAUAACCGUGGUAAUUCUAGAGCUAAUACAUGCUAAAAACCCCGACUUCGGGAGGGGUGUAUUUAUUAGAUAAAAAACCAACGCCCUUCGGGGCUCUUUGGUGAUUCAUGAUAACUUAACGGAUCGCAUGGCCUUGCGCCGGCGACGGUUCAUUCAAAUUUCUGCCCUAUCAACUUUCGAUGGUAAGGUAUUGGCUUACCAUGGUUUCAACGGGUAACGGGGAAUUAGGGUUCGGUUCCGGAGAGGGAGCCUGAGAAACGGCUACCACAUCCAAGGAAGGCAGCAGGCGCGCAAAUUACCCAAUCCCGACACGGGGAGGUAGUGACAAUAAAUACUGAUACAGGGCUCUUUUGGGUCUUGUAAUUGGAAUGAGUACAAUUUAAACCCCUUAACGAGGAACAAUUGGAGGGCAAGUCUGGUGCCAGCAGCCGCGGUAAUUCCAGCUCCAAUAGCGUAUAUUAAAGUUGUUGCAGUUAAAAAGCUCGUAGUUGAACCUUGGGCCUGGCUGGCCGGUCCGCCUCACCGCGUGUACUGGUCCGGCCGGGCCUUUCCUUCUGGAGAGCCGCAUGCCCUUCACUGGGUGUGUUGGGGAACCAGGACUUUUACUUUGAAAAAAUUAGAGUGUUCAAAGCAGGCCUUUGCUCGAAUACAUUAGCAUGGAAUAAUAGAAUAGGACGUGCGGUCCUAUUUUGUUGGUUUCUAGGACCGCCGUAAUGAUUAAUAGGGAUAGUCGGGGGCAUCAGUAUUCAAUUGUCAGAGGUGAAAUUCUUGGAUUUAUUGAAGACUAACUACUGCGAAAGCAUUUGCCAAGGAUGUUUUCAUUAAUCAGUGAACGAAAGUUAGGGGAUCGAAGACGAUCAGAUACCGUCGUAGUCUUAACCGUAAACUAUGCCGACUAGGGAUCGGGCGAUGUUACUAUUUUGACUCGCUCGGCACCUUACGAGAAAUCAAAGUC
rnacentral:rRNA from 1 species